CAGCCUGGAAACAUAAAAGGAGGACUCGGCAAGGGAGACGCGCUGACAGCCCGCCCGCUUGGAGCAAAGCCAGAGAAGUGUCUGCGGGUGUCUAUGAGCCACACAUGCAUACAAAUGCCCCCCUCCAACGGGACCAUUCACCCCCUUCCUUCCUUCCUUCCCUCCCUCCCCUUUGGAGACGCGCUUUCCUCCUCCUUCUCCUCCCAGUUUUUGCGCACGAGAAAGAGAGCCACCCGCGCCCUCUUCAGCCGGGCCAGCAGCCAAAAAGGGAAGCAGCCGGGCCCCUCGGCCUGGCAGAGAGAGAAAGAGGCGCUGGGCCGGGCAGGAGACAAGGAUUCGCCCCCUUUUCCCCCUGCCCUUUGCUCACCCCGUUGCUGCGGAUCGCAGGGAGCCAGCCAAGCUCUUGCGCGCAGUCUCUUUCUCUCGGUGUGUGUGUCUCUCUCUCCAGCUCUGGCUUCUAAGGCGCCCGGGCUCCUCUCGCUUUCUCUCCGGCUCUUCGGCGCCUUGCCUUUGCGGGAAGCUCGGCCGAGGACGCGGCUGCUUCUCCUCCUCUUUCCCCGAUCACAGGCAGGAAAAGGGGGGCCGAAGGGAGGAGGAGGAGGAGGAGGAGAAGCAGCCGCGUCCUCGUCCGAGCUUUAAGCACCCCCCCCCCCCCUCGCUACAGGCCUGUCCAGAACUGAGCUUGGAUGGGUCCUAUGACCCUAUCGCCACUGACAGGGAGACUUCAGA
rnacentral:lncRNA from 1 species